UCUUUCUUUGCUGGCGACCGGCGCACGGGUGAGUAACACGUAUCCAACCUGCCCUUUACUCGGGGAUAGCCUUUCGAAAGAAAGAUUAAUACCCGAUAGCAUAAUGAUUCCGCAUGGUUUCAUUAUUAAAGGAUUCCGGUAAAGGAUGGGGAUGCGUUCCAUUAGGUUGUUGGUGGGGUAACGGCCCACCAAGCCUUCGAUGGAUAGGGGUUCUGAGAGGAAGGUCCCCCACAUUGGAACUGAGACACGGCCAA
rnacentral:rRNA from 1 species